rnacentral:RNase_P_RNA from 1 species
GGAGGGUUUAGGAGGUGGUUGCUCCGAGCUCUUUGAAAAGGCUCGGGGAGGAAAGUCCGGGCUCCACAGGGGAGGACGCCGGGUAACGCCCGGAGGGAGCAAUCCCUGGAAAGGGCCACAGAAAACAGACCGCCAGCGGCCAGAGGACGAAUGUCCUCUGGUGCGGGCAAGGGUGAAAAGGUGGGGUAAGAGCCCACCGCACUCCCUGGCAACAGGGAGUGGCACGGCAACCCCCGUCCGGAGCAAGGCCAAAAGGAGCGCAUGGGUGCCCCGCCCGAAGCGCUCGGGUAGGCCGCUUGAGGAGAGGGGUAACCCUCUCCCAAGAUAAAUAACCACCCUCUGGGGUAAUAUCCCCCAGAGAACAGAACCCGGCUUACCUAAACCCUCCCCUC